rnacentral:rRNA from 1 species
UAGAGUUUGAUCCUGGCUCAGAACGAACGCUGGCGGCAGGCUUAACACAUGCAAGUCGAGCGCUCUCUUCGGAGGGAGCGGCGGACGGGUUAGUAACGCGUGGGAAUAUGCCCUUUGGUACGGAAUAGCCUCUGGAAACGGAGAGUAAUACCGUAUGUGCCCUACGGGGGAAAGAUUUAUCGCCAAAGGAUUAGCCCGCGUUGGAUUAGGUAGUUGGUGGGGUAACGGCCUACCAAGCCGACGAUCCAUAGCUGGUUUGAGAGGAUGAUCAGCAACACUGGGACUGAGACACGGCCCAGACUCCUACGGGAGGCAGCAGUGGGGAAUCUUGGACAAUGGGGGAAACCCUGAUCCAGCCAUGCCGCGUGAGUGACGAAGGCCUUAGGGUCGUAAAGCUCUUUCGCUAGGGAAGAUAAUGACGGUACCUAGUAAAGAAACCCCGGCUAACUCCGUGCCAGCAGCCGCGGUAAUACGGAGGGGGUUAGCGUUGUUCGGAAUUACUGGGCGUAAAGCGCACGUAGGCGGAUCGGAAAGUUGGGGGUGAAAUCCCAGGGCUCAACCCUGGAACUGCCUCCAAAACUAUCGGUCUAGAGUUCGAGAGAGGUGAGUGGAAUUCCGAGUGUAGAGGUGAAAUUCGUAGAUAUUCGGAGGAACACCAGUGGCGAAGGCGGCUCACUGGCUCGAUACUGACGCUGAGGUGCGAAAGUGUGGGGAGCAAACAGGAUUAGAUACCCUGGUAGUCCACACC